GCUUUGCUAGAAACAUUUCUAGUGUGGUCAGUCAGGUCUUCACAGUCUCGACAACACUGUCAAGAAGAUGGCGAAGGGUACAAUUUCCCGGAUUGCAGUCCUUGUACUGGUAGCAGCGCUGUGUGCGCGAGAAUGUGCAAAGGCGGCCUACGUAAGGUACGACGACGACGACGAUGAAGGGAUGGACCCUCAAGAGGACCUCUACGGGAUGACCAAAGAAGUUACGACUACUACGGUCACCACCCCAACUCCGACAACCAAUCAUACAACAACUACAACAACUACACCAACUA